GGGGUGUACUCAGAGCAGGGGCCCUGAAGAACGGCUCCUCUGUUUACAGCACACCCAACAGGAAUCUGGGGUCACUGUGAUAAGGGGCCCAAAACUUGUGGUCUCCCUAUGAACAAAUUCCCUACAUGU
ensembl:snoRNA